rnacentral:rRNA from 1 species
ACGCUGGCGGCGUGCCUAACACAUGCAAGUCGAACGGGAAGCCAAUUUCGAUUGGUGGAGAGUGGCGGACGGGUGCGUAACACGUAGCUUACCUGCCCCGAAGACCGGGAUAACGCACCGAAAGGUGUGCUAAUACCGGAUGUGCUCACGAUUUCUAGAGGAUUGUGAGAAAAGCUGAGGCGCUUUGGGAUGGGGCUGCGGCCCAUCAGGUGGUUGGUGAGGUAACGGCUCACCAAGCCGAAGACGGGUAGGGGGCCUGAGAGGGUGACCCCCCACACUGGGACUGAGACACGGCCCAGACUCCUACGGGAGGCAGCAGUGAGGAAUAUUGCGCAAUGGGCGAAAGCCUGACGCAGCAACGCCGCGUGAGUGAUGAAGGUUUUCGGAUCGUAAAACUCUUUUCCGAGUGACGAGGAAGGACGGUAGCUCGGGAAUAAGCGUCGGCUAACUACGUGCCAGCAGCCGCGGUAAAACGUAGGACGCAAGCGUUAUCCGGAAUUACUGGGCGUAAAGCGCGUGUAGGCGGACAUGUAAGUCAGGCGUGAAAGCUCCCGGCUAAACUGGGAGAGGUCGUCUGAAACUGGAUGUCUGGAGUGCGGCAGAGGGACACGGAAUUCCGCGUGUAGUGGUGAAAUGCGUAGAUAUGCGGAGGAACACCAGUGGCGAAGGCGGUGUCCUGGGCCGAGACUGACGCUGAGACGCGAAAGCAUGGGUAGCGAACGGGAUUAGAAACCCCGGUAGUCCAUGCCGUAAACGAUGCACACUAGGUGUUCGUGCGGCUACGGUCGUGGGAGUGCCGAAGCAAACGCGAUAAGUGUGCCGCCUGGGGAGUACGGUCGCAAGGCUAAAACUCAAAGGAAUUGACGGGGGCCCGCACAAGCAGCGGAGCGUGUGGUUUAAUUCGAGGCUACGCGAAGAACCUUACCUGGGUUUGACAUAUAGGUGGUAGAGAAGUGAAAGCGGAUCGACCCUCGGGAGCCUAUACAGGUGCUGCAUGGCUGUCGUCAGCUCGUGUCGUGAGAUGUUCGGUUAAGUCCGAAAACGAGCGCAACCCCUAGAUUUAGUUACAAGUGUCUAGAUCGACUGCCGGCGAUAAGCCGGAGGAAGGUGGGGAUGACGUCAAGUCAGCAUGGCCUUUAUAUCCAGGGCUACACACACGCUACAAUGGCGCGUACAAUGGGUAGCGAAACCGCGAGGUGGAGCCAAUCCUGAAAGCGCGUCUCAGUUCGGAUUGCAGGCUGCAACUCGCCUGCAUGAAGUCGGAGUUGCUAGUAACCGCAGAUCAGCCACGCUGCGGUGAAUACGUUCCCGGGCAUUGUACACACCGCCCGUCACGUCAUGGAAGCUGGUCACGCCUGAAGUCGGGAAGCCAACCUAACGGAAGCUACCGCCGAAGGCAGGGC